UGAUCAGCCUCAUAUGUUAUAGUGGGUUUCUGUAGUCAUGGCAUCAGCUCCAUCUGAAACAUAAAUUAAAACCAAUUGUCAAUAAGAUUGUAUUGAUUCAUCUACUUUUAUUUCAUAUAAUCUUCUACAUAAGGUUAAUGCAAUGGAUGUUGCUUCCAGUUUUCACGUGAAGAUAAUAUACUAUAGAAGUCUACAGAAAUAAAUGGGAUUGCUUGCAUGCAUUAUAUUUCUUACUUUACUAAUGACCAUUCUGUUCUUAUAUUUAAAGGGCCUCAAAGAUUAUGGCAUAUACACCAUUGAAUGCAUUGACUACACGAAACGAGACAUGGACAAUCAAAGGUUAAGACUUUGGGACACAAUUAACUUAUCAACUAAUGAGCUCAUUAGCAUUGAUAUAAUUUUAUUGGACAAAAGGGUGCAAGUAUUACAUAUAUAAUGUAACUUCAAUUUAUCCUUUCCAAAGUUUGCUGAUCUUUUCUUUCUAUGUAGGGCCAUGCGAUCCAUGCUUCUAUUGGGAGCAAACUGGUCAAUAAAUUUAAAUCAAAAAUUAAAGAGGACUCCAUAUACAUAAUUAAGACCUUCAAAGUCUUGGAGUAUGAAAAAUACCGACCAUUGAAGAACAAUCUCAAAAUCAAUUUUGUUUAUGAUACAACAGUGAAGGAAGUGGAUGAAGGAAAAUCAAAGUUUUUGAAUUACCACUUCGAAUUUGUUGAUGGCGAUACCUUGGAUAGUAGGGUGAAUAUUGAUAAACAGUGCUCAGAUGUCAUUGGAUUGCUUACUGCAAUGAAACCAAUAGAGCAAGUACAAAAAAUAAAAGGGACGGGCAUGGCUCAAACUUCAAACAUCCGCGAGAUUGAAAUCCUUUUACUAGAAGAUGAAAAGAUCCAAAUCACGCUAUGGGGGGAUAUUUUAGCAAAUACGGUGAACGAAAGUCUUUUGGACAAACAAACAAUAGUGAUUGUCACUUCAAAUUUGGUCAAAAAAUUCAAUGGUGAGAACUAGAAUCUUUUUGUGUAAACUCAAGUCCAAAUUACUGAUAAUUUGUUACCAGGGCUAUCACUACACACAACAAAUGCAUCUAAAGUCUUCCUCAACCCUGAAAUUCCAGAGGCAGACCAA